GUAGUACAUAAGUUAAAUAAACUGAUGACCUUCAAAGUCAUUUAUUCUUAAAUAGAUUACUUCG
rnacentral:tRNA from 1 species